rnacentral:rRNA from 1 species
GACGAACGCUGGCGGCGUGGAUUAGGCAUGCAAGUCGAACGGUAUCAUCCUUUCGGGGGUGAGAGAGUGGCGAACUGGUGAGUAACACGUAGGUUAUCUACCCUCAAGACGGGGACAACCCAGGGAAACUUGGGCUAAUACCGGAUGUGAGCAACUUUUAGUUGUUUGAAAGGUGGCGUAAGCUGUCGCUUGGGGAUGAGCCUGCGUCCUAUUAGUUAGUUGGUGAGGUAACGGCUCACCUAGGCAAUGAUAGGUAGGCGGCCUUAACGGGUGGUCGCCCACACUGGGAUUGAGAUACGGCCCAGACUCCUACGGGAGGCAGCAGUCGAGAAUAGUCUACAAUGGUCGGAAGACUGAUAGUGCGACGCCGCGUGAACGAUGAAUCCCUUCGGGUUGUAAAGCACUUUUCGGGAGGAAGAGGUAAGGACUGUACUCCCAGAAUAAGCCUCGGCUAACUACGUG